UACUGCCAAGUUCAUUCUACAGGAUG
rnacentral:piRNA from 1 species